rnacentral:rRNA from 1 species
UACAGAGACUGCAAGCGUUAUUCGGAUUCACUGGGCGUAAAGGGUGCGCAGGCGGUCGUGUGUGUCAGAUGUGACAUCCCGGAGCUUACCUCCGGAACUGCGUCUGAAACUACACGACUAGAGCAUUGGAGAGGGAAGUGGAAUUCAUGGUGUAGCAGUGAAAUGCGUAGAUAUCAGGAGGAACACCAGAGGCGAAGGCGACUUCCUGGACAAUUGAUGACGCUGAGGCACGAUAGCAUGGGGAGCAAAAGGG